CGGGUUGCCCGGCGCCUUUACUUUGAAAAAAUUAGAGUGCUCAAAGCAGGCCGGGGCCUGGAUAACGGUGCAUGGAAUAAUGGAAUAGGACCUCGGUUCUAUUUUGUUGGUUUUCGGAACGCGAGGUAAUGAUUAAGAGGGACGGACGGGGGCAUUCGUAUUGCGGCGCUAGAGGUGAAAUUCUUGGACCGCCGCAAGACGAACCACUGCGAAAGCAUUUGCCAAGAAUGUUUUCAUUAAUCAAGAACGAAAGUUAGAGGUUCGAAGGCGAUCAGAUACCGCCCUAGUUCUAACCAUAAACGAUGCCAACCAGCGAUCCGCCAGAGUUCUUCAAACGACUCGGCGGGCAGCUUACGGGAAACCAAAGUUUUUGGGUUCCGGGGGAAGUAUGGUUGCAAAGCUGAAACUUAAAGGAAUUGACGGAAGGGCACCACCAGGAGUGGAGCCUGCGGCUUAAUUUGACCCAACACGGGGAAACUCACCCGGCCCGGACACCGGAAGGAUUGACAGAUUGAUAGCUCUUUCUUGAUUCGGUGGGUGGUGGUGCAUGGCCGUUCUUAGUUGGUGGAGCGAUUUGUCUGGUUAAUUCCGAUAACGAACGAGACUCUAGCCUACUAAAUAGACCCGCGAUCCGUGGUAUCGCGAGAGGGUCUUCUUAGAGGGACAGGCGGCUUUUAGCCGCACGAAACGGAGCAAUAACAGGUCUGUGAUGCCCUUAGAUGUCCGGGGCCGCACGCGCGCUACACUGAAGGAAUCAACGUGUGUCUACCCUGGUCCGAGAGGACCGGGUAACCCCGUGAACCUUCUUCGUGCUAGGGAUAAUGGAUUGGAAUUAUUCCAUUUGAACGAGGAAUUCCCAGUAAACGCCCGUCAUCAGCGGGCGUUGAUUACGUCCCUGCCCUUUGUACACACCGCCCGUCGCUACUACCGAUUGAAUGAUUUAGUGAAACCUUCGGACUGGCGCU
rnacentral:rRNA from 1 species